rnacentral:rRNA from 1 species
GACGUAGGGCGCGAGCGUUGUCCGGAUUUAUUGGGCGUAAAGAGCUCGUAGGCGGCUCGUUGCGUCGGCUGUGAAAACCCGCAGCUCAACUGUGGGCUUGCAGCUGAUACGGGCGGGCUGGGAUUCGGUAGGGGAGACUGGAAUUCCUGGUGUAGCGGUGAAAUGCGUAGAUAUCUGGAGGAACACCGGUGGCGAAGGCGGCAUCCUGGACCAACACUGACGCUGAUGAGCGAAAGCCUGGGGAGCAAACGGG